GUGGCCUGAUGCCUGUGCCAGAUGCAGCUGUCCCAGAAUUAUGAAAAACGGCAUACUUGACUAUACUUGAGAAAGACGUGAUGCAAGCUGAUUUCAGACACAGAAAGAGAAGCUCUUUAUUUUGACUGACAAGGUCUUACAUCAGGAUUACCGGAAUAGAGGGGCUGGUGCUGGGAGAAGAGAGGAGUCAAGCAGUAGCCACAAUGAAGGAGAAGCUUUCUCGUCAUUCUUUAAUCUUCUAAAUCUCUUUAGUUCCCUAUUCACCUCCUUCCCUCAAAUACAGCCACUAUGUGAGCCAGUAAUUCUAGAAAUAAAUUUCAUGCUUAGCAUUUUCCCCAUCCCUUCUAACUGAUCAAUCCAUUAAUGAAUAUAACCAUUGUUAGAAAAGCUCAACAACAACAACAAAAACUCCAAAUAAUCUUGAAAACACCUAUACUUUAGAUUACUAAAGCAUAUCUUUAUUUUACAAUUGAACGUUAAGAGUCACAGCUAGAGUUUUUCUUCACGUUUGUACCUGAACAACUAUUUCUCAAUCAAAAUGAAAUAUGGCCAACAAAAUAAAUGUGUAAUAGCAUUUCAUAUAAUAUAAAUCAUUCUUUAGACUUAAACAGUUUUAAUGCAAACAGCACUUUUAUCCUUUUUGCUGUUAGUAUUUGUAGAUUUUUUUAAACAUAAAUUAAUGCAAGAAUUCUAAUUUUUCAGUGAAGUUAAGACAAAUACGCAAGGCCUUUUAAGCAUACAGUAAGCUACAGUGACAUAGUGAUUUCAAAUUUUCCAGUGUUGAACAAAUUCAAGCUUAUACAUGUUAAAUAAACCUUUAGCUUCUUUGCCUCUUAACUAUGAGAAAAAACUAUAUGGAAAGAGAUAUUUUUUGUGAAAUGGGGCAGGGGGAGUUAGUCUAAAAAAUUAAGAGGCUAAUUCCAUUUUGCCACUAGUUCAGUGGAUUCAAACAUGAAAUGGCCACAAAAAUGUAAAAUUAUAUUUUAAUUAGGAAAUAAACUAGACUUUUAACUAAGUGACGUUCCCCUUUCAUAUUUACAUAUAGCACCUGUUAAAAGAAAAAAAAAAAGUCCCAAAUCAUCCUCUACACAGAAGUAAUUAUUUUAAAAACUACUUAAAAAUAUAAUUGAUGAGUAUAUAGUAAACUAUCAGUCCUAAAAUUAAGCCUACACUGUAGAAAAUAAGGACUAGCUUUUCUUAUUUGAAAAGAUUACAACAAAGAUUAUAACUGCAAUGUCCUGAUGCUGAAGAACACUGGGUUGGACAGUUUUUAUUUUUUUAAGCAGAUACAGUCUACUGGCAGAAAAUGAAAACAGCUUAAUGUAAACUGUUGUUGGCCUCCUAAAUCCUGCCCCUGGACAUGUAUAUAAAGUGUCAGGACUUUUGCCCUCUUAACUUUACUUGUGGUGCAGUAUCUAAACAAAACAAACGGAUUUCCAAGUUUUCAUAUAAUGUACAAAAAAAUGCAAAGCAGACAGGAUUAUAGUAAACCAAGCUUGGUUGCUCACUCAGAGUCCAGUAACACAGUCAACUAGGUAGUCUUUAUUGUACUAAAUAAAUUACAGAAAAGUGGCAAAACUAAGAUUACACAAGUUACCUCUUAAAUAUCAAAUAAGCUAUCAGGAGAUCAUUGUAAAGCAUUUAAACUUGGAUCCAAUCUAAUGAACUCUAAUUUUUUCCAUAUUUACAAAAUUACUAGUAUAGAUUUUAUUUUUAAAUGUAUAAAUUAAAAUUCAGUAGUCAGCAUGAAAUAAAGUGCUAUUUGAAAUUCAAGAGAUCAAUUUUAGCACUGAAAUUUGUCCUACUCUACAGACUACAAGAAUGAAUGAAUAAUCUUGCCACCUCAUUGAAAGAUGGGAAAAGACUGGUGUCAGAGAAUCCCAGAGUUGGGUUGAGAUUUUCUCACCCAGGAAGGCAAAUAAGUGGAACACUAAAAUUCAGCUGUAGAAACUAAAUGACUUCAUUUAAUAAAAGGCAAAAUGGGCUCAGUUGUGACUAGAGAGGAUGUGUGGAAACCACAAAUCAGCAUCUACUUGGGUCUAAGGGUGUGAGUAGGGCUAUCUCCUCCUUUAUGGCUUCCUGGUAAUAAUUUUAUUUAGCAAUAGGACAUUUAGUUUAAGUUUAUCACCAGUAAUAUUUGCUAAAUUUUAGAAACUUCUGGGGUUGAGAGAGCCUGAUACUAAUGUUACAGCUGUGGCAAAAGUUAACAAAGGAAGAUAUCACCUUUUAGUUGCUUGGGGUAUUUAUUUUACAAUGAGUCAAAUUAAUGAUUUUUUAAAAAUUGGAGGUUUGGAAGUAAGAAUCAAAAUAAUGAAGUCCCCACUGAGUCACUCACUCUAAUGAGUGAUAACUAAUAAAUACUAUCUUUUAAAGAAAGAAGCUGUUGAACAAAUUAAUUGUGCUUACAGAAGUUUAAAUGUAGGUUUUUUGUUCAGCUGAAUUAAUAAACCUUUAAGUAUAUAAGAAAGCACUGCUACAAGUCAGAGUUGGGCCCAGUGGAAACUGAGAAUAAAAAAGGCAAAACCAUUUAUUGGGUAAGGGGCCUCUGCAUAUAUUUACUGCAGUGAAUCUUAGGCACGGUUUUCUGGUUUGACCCAAGCAACACUCUUACAAUGAUGUCCUUCACUUGUGACUGCCACAGUGACAAAGCCUGGGGACUUUCCUCCAUGGUAAACACAUGCAGCAGCAAGUUUACCCUCAUACACAAACACCCUUCCACACUCCAGAGGUCCAGAAUUCAAUUAUUUUAUACUUAAAAACAGUAUGUGUGAAAUUUCUGGAAAAUUUCUAUUCUAGAGCCAAAGCAAAAUGAAAAGAGUGUACAUAUUUGAAAUACGGUUCAAUAAUGAUUGCUCUUGUUCAUAAUGAAAAUUACAUUUUUUCUUCUAAAACUGCAUUUCAUAUAAUGAAGUGUAAUACUCUUCCCUUUCUUCUUUUCAAUCCCUUGCAAACUUUUU